UGGGAACCUCCCUAUGCCGGGACUAUGGUCCUAAAAAGCAAUAAAUAAAGAAAUAAAUAGCACUAAGGACAGUCACACAAAGCUAGGCCUUCUCAGCGUCAGACGUGCCCAAGAGCUGAGCAGAUGUCAGCAACAGGACAGGGGAGGGGCAGGGCCUGAUGGCGUCAGUGCCGGAUUUUUACAGGGCGUGAAAAAAAUAAUGGUGCAGAAGGCAGCGGGCUGGCGCCUGGCCUGAGAAUCUUGGGAUUUAGAAGGACACGGAGCAGCUGCCCGGGACCAAGCCCUAGAGGAGACCGGGGUCUCAGCCGAGAGCAGUGGGAAAGUGGCGUCCCAGUCAGACCCAGAAGAAGAGCCAGGCCCUGCAUCCAGCAUCUCACCGACCCUCUUUGUAGUCCUCACAACAACCCAGAGAAGCGAGGGUCAUGGCCCCCAUUUUAGAGAAGAAAACACACGUUCUAAAGGGCCCCGCGAGCCAAAGCUGCCGAGCCAGCGAGAGGCAGCGUGAGGACUGACCCCAGCCUGACUCCCAGGCAGCGCCUGGGGGAUCCUCGAGCUCCCCGCUCUCCUCUCGAGCCCCAGGGGAGCCCUGGAUCCCAACCUGUUGGCCUCCUUCUGCCCAGGCCCCAGUGGGGCUUCUGCCCUGCAGCAGCCUGGCUUCUCAGCAGAGCCACGUGGGUCCCCAGGCCUGACGCGGAAGGCUGGGAUGCCAGUACUUGAGAGCACAGCAGGUGCACGUGACUUCCCAGAAGGACCAGCCUCUCCAGCCGCCGCAGGGCCGAGGCCCACGGUCACUCACACGUGGCCGAUGCCAGGCCUCCCGCGGCGGCUCUGGAGUCCACAGAGCGCUCCCCCUUUGGGCGGAGGCAGGGCGGGGCACACGUCCCCACUUCACAGACCAAGAGCAGAGCCCAAGGUCGCACCCCGUAACCCACCGACCUGGGUUACCCCUGACCCACAGCCUCAGGAAGAUGCGGGCCGCGGUCUGUCGAUGCUCAGACCUGAGCCAAGCCUUUGCUGCUUCCCAUCUGAGGUCAGGCUUUCACCUUAGGCCUGGACCCUCUCUGCACUCCGGAGACCCCAGGGACAGACCAGUGCUGCCAGGACGGCCUCAGACGGCAGGCCCGUCUGAGAUGGGCAUGAGCAGAGAGAAGCCGAAGGAAGGACGGGGGCAGCAGAGGAGGGCAGGCUGGGGCUGUCCUGAGCCGGCGCAUCGUGGCCGUCUGCCCAGGAGGCCCUCCUGGGUCCGGCGGUAGAUGUCACUUCUUCACCAGGUAGAGGAGGAAGAUGGGGCGCCGGCGAGGCUGCUCACAAGGUCGGGGGUAAGGGGCAGGGCACGGACUCAGAACCAGGCCCCCGCAUUCAGAAACCGGUUGGUCUUCUAUGGAAAGAGACUCUGGGCCUGUGUGCCAGCAGGAGUCCUCGAAGCUGGGUUGGGGUUGGGGGGUGCCCAGCAGACAUAUCCCCCAAUCCCGUCACAGCUUCAGCCAACUUAGGGAGACCCAGCUGCCAACUUCCCCCUUUUGUAGACGAGAACGUGACGUCCGGAGCCGGGAAGAGCUCGGCCCACAGCCAGGGCUAGGAUUCCUGUGCCCUCCCUCAGCAGGGCCACCUGCGCCACUCCGCCCAUGGCUCCUCUUCCCCGAGCCCCAGUUCACCUGCCCGGUUCUCCUGCCUGGCUCUGCCUUUUUAGGAAAGGAAAAGAGCAGCCCCAGUGGCGGGCAGGCGGGCGGGCAGGCGUCCAUGCUAAUCCACCAGCUCCCGGCAGCUCUGGUUACCGUGGUUUGGGGCCCGGGCAACCCUGGCUGGGAGUGCCAGCCCAGCCAAUGGGCGCUGCCGCGGAGCGCCUCUGCCAGAGCCAUACAAGGCUUUGCUUCGGCCCAGUCCCGAGCCAGCACAGGGCAGUCCCAGCACCAGCACCCGCCCCGCUCGAGAUCCUGCUAGCCCGGCACGUCCUCGGACUCUGCCUAAUCCAACCUGGGGGCAGGCAGGGCUGUGGUGCACGUGCACCAGGCCCAGGGCUCCCCAAGGUCAGGAAGGUAGCACUGCCAGGGCAGAGGCCAGAACCGGGGCAGAGACCUAGGCAGCAAAGGGGAUCCCAGCUGGAGGCAGGGGUGAUGGAGCCCAGGUCUGGUCCAGGCGAGCCGUCUCUCCAUUCUUUUCCAUUGUAGGUUACACAAGAUAUUGUGCAUAGCUCCCUCUGCUACACAUGGCUUGAUGUGGGAUCUCAGUUUUCCGACUGGGGAUUGAACCUGGGCGCAAGUUCAAUGAGAGAAAGUGCCGAGUCCUAAGUACCAGGCCAGCAGGGAAAUCCCUCUAUCAUUGUUUUAGAUUCCACGUAUGAGUGAUCUCAUAUGCCAUUUGUCUUUCUCUGUCUGACUUCACUUAGUGUGAUAAUCUCUAGGUCCUUCCUCUUGCUGCAAAUGUCAUUAUUUCAUUCUUUUUCGUGGCUGAGUAGUAUUCCAUUGUGUACAUAUAAACUGCAUCACCUUUAUCCAGUCAUCUCCUGAUGAACAAUUGCUUCCAUGUCUUAACUAUUGUAAAGGGGGUUGCUAUG